GAGGCAUGCAUUGCACAGCCUAAAGAAAGAGCGGGGCGUGCACGCCGGAGGCAGCGGCGGAGGCGACAGAAAUGGGAACGGAGAGCAGCAGGUACAGCCAGCGGUGGAGCGGAUGGUGUGGCCGCUGUGGAUCGGGUAGGGUAGGGUAGGACGCUUAGGAGCAGGACCACCGGCGCCGAGGGCAGCGAUCCCGAGACGAGGAGAAGCAGGCGAACUCGCAUGGCGGGCGCACACACGAGCGAGACUGCGAGAGAGCUCGGUCGGCCAUCGAUCCAUCGUCUGAAAUGGAUCGAAAAAGGGGGGCCGGGCGGGCACGCCAGUCGUUACCAGCGCCUCUUUUGCUUCUUUCGGUCGAUGCAUGCCCCCGCCUCCGCCUCGGCGUCCGCACGAGGAGAGACGCUGCUGCCUGCUGCUGGUCGGCCCGCUUACUCGCUUCUUCUCUCAUCUAGCACGCUUGAUCUGCUGAUCAUACACCAGCUUGCCAUGAACUCGGAGCAAACCUAGCUUCUUUGGAGUUCCGUUCAGACGCGUUCAGCUCAACGCGACCUGAAUUUUCGCAUUCAGAGUCUCAGACGGAUGCGUAUCCGAUACAUGCAGCAUUCAGGUAGCCCUGUUUAGGCGAGGCGAGCGAGACACGCUCGUCUUUACAGGUCCCUGCCAAUGAUCGCCGCACGCCGGCGUGCUGCUAAGCGCCGACGCUGGCGCGUCGUGCUUGUGGCUGUCAUGUGCCCAAAGGAGGACAGGAUCGUACUAUGCAAGACCGAGGAAGCGAAAAAAAGGAAAACCGAUCGGCUGAACGGGGAAGCAGCAGAUCCGAGGAACCAGAGCAGGAACAGCAUCAUUGCCAUCAAAAUGCGUGUGAUCGACGUUGGAUUUCGCACGGUAGCUUUCUGCCUUUCUCUCUUUUAUCUACUCCGGCCUUCUCCUUUAC
rnacentral:lncRNA from 7 species